UACGUAGGGCGCAAGCGUUUAUCCGGAAUUAUUGGGCGUAAAGAGCUCGUAGGCGGUUUGUCGCGUCUGCUGUGAAAUCCCGAGGCUCAACCUCGGGUCUGCAGUGGGUACGGGCAGACUGGAGUGCGGUAGGGGAGAAUGGAAUUCCUGGUGUAGCGGUGGAAUGCGCAGAUAUCAGGAGGAACACCGAUGGCGAAGGCAGUUCUCUGGGCCGUAACUGACGCUGAGGAGCGAAAGCGUGGGGAGCGAACAGG
rnacentral:rRNA from 1 species